rnacentral:misc_RNA from 1 species
AUUAAAUAUGUAUUAUUAUUUCCAACAAAAAGUUUUAACAAAAUUACAAGAUCCAAAUCAAAUAUGUACAGAUAGAUUUAGUAUUUUUAUAUUUGGCGCACCUUCUAGAUCUAUAUAUACAACUGUGGUGAUAAUUAUCCUAGGUAUUUUCAAUGUUAGUAUUGGACAAACUACAAAACGAUAUUGGUAAAAAACUGAUAGGUACAUUUUUUAAUUGUUGAUCGCUACUUCACUACAUGCUAUAAACAUUAUUAUAAUAAUUACUUUAAAUUUAUUGAAUAAUGAUAUAAAGACAUUUUCUUUGAUAUAAAGAUAUUUAGAAUCUAUUUUUAUAGAAGUUAUUAAUUAUACUGGUUUAUAUAAGUUGACAAAUUUAAGAAUUCUAU